GCUCCGCGCCUGUUCGGAAGGUUCAUUGCACGCGUACGCACGUGGGGACAGCUAAGGAAGAGUCAGCUAGCCUACAGAACUAAAAUGGUGAUACGGUGCAAGAUCAGGGUGACGACGGUGGCGAAAUGGUUGCCUACAAUGACCCUGUAUGACUUGGUCUCUAGGGAUGAUCCCGAAAGGUAGAUAUUGCAAUGACUUGUUGAAAGGCAUAUCAAAUGAGACUUGUUAAUGGGGUGAUGGACAUGUCUGUAGAGUUGUGCACUGCUGUGCUGUUUCAUUAUAGCCCAGCAUCUGAAAAACAUGAAAUGUAAAUAUCUUGUGCAGAAAAACCAAUGGAAGGUCGCUCAACCCCAGUAGUUUGGUUACCACAACAAUCAGCCUUGGACACCUAAAUGAAAUCUACACGACCCAGGAAUCCAUCGAGAUAAUAGCAAGACCUAAACCGGAGUUGGGUCAGUGGUGGUAUACCCCUGGCAAAUCUUCAAUUCGACACCUCCAUUUUGUCCACAUGGGGAAGCUGUCAGAAGCAUGGGUGAAGGGAUAUGUGUAUUGAGGUGUGGAUGAAGUGGAGGUAACAGCCAGAGGAACCAACAUGCACCAUUUGGAAGAAGUUUCAUGAACAUUACGUGUUUGAAGGUCUAGAGGCUUACAACAGAGGUGUGCAAAGGCCAUUUCAUGGCUUGUGUUAGUCAAUGAUUGCUGCAGGACUUAUGUUUUUGUUUAUUGGGUAUUAAUGUUUUUGUUUAUUGGGUAUUAAUGUAUUUGAAGUCAUUUUUGUUUUUGAGUAGAUAUGUAUGUAUGUAUGUAUGAAAUGGUGUAUUUACUGCAUUUUUACAAAAUAAAGUUUUUCUAAUAUUA